rnacentral:lncRNA from 1 species
CUUCAUAACAUUAUGCCACACCUUCAUAUACAAAGACUGCAUCGCUAUUAAGGUGCUCUUAACAGGAUAAACCAUUAGUGCCAACUGACAGCCCUUGCAACUCCUUCGCUCCAGCUAUCCUAAAGGACCUACAGUACAGGUCUGUGAUGUACUUUUUCAGCUCCCUGAUGGUCACGUUAGCAAAAUAUAAAGAACUGAAAAAAGAACAGGCCAAGAUUAUUGCUGUAAAAUUUUCUCACGAUGCCUGCUGCGAAGGUGCCGGUCUUGAACAUGUUGAUCGGGAGUAAUUGGCUUGAAAUCCUUUCCCGGUUCCGGGGACUCGCGAAACCAGUUAUGGUUAAGGGCAUCCUUCGCCG